CUACGUGCCAGCAGCCGCGGUAAUACGUAGGUGGCAAGCGUUGUCCGGAAUUAUUGGGCGUAAAGCGCGCGCAGGCGGAUUGGUCAGUCUGUCUUAAAAGUUCGGGGCUUAACCCCGUGAUGGGAUGGAAACUGCCAAUCUAGAGUAUCGGAGAGGAAAGUGGAAUUCCUAGUGUAGCGGUGAAAUGCGUAGAUAUUAGGAAGAACACCAGUGGCGAAGGCGACUUUCUGGACGAAAACUGACGCUGAGGCGCGAAAGCCAGGGGAGCGAACGGGAUUAGAUACCCCGGUAGUCCUGGCCGUAAACGAUGGGUACUAGGUGUAGGAGGUAUCGACCCCUUCUGUGCCGGAGUUAACGCAAUAAGUACCCCGCCUGGGGAGUACGACCGCAAGGUUGAAACUCAAAGGAAUUGACGGGGGCCCGCACAAGCGGUGGAGUAUGUGGUUUAAUUCGACGCAACGCGAAGAACCUUACCAGGUC
rnacentral:rRNA from 1 species